CCUUGGCAUGCCUGGUAGGGUCUGUCAGACCCAUACCAACGCGCGAAACGUUGUAGUUCAUUUAAAUUUGAAUUUCGAGCCUCACCGUUUUUAGUAGCUGGCCGUUACUAACCGCGGAAUGCCCUCCACCCGCUUCCUCAGUCCGCGGUGAGCUAUCAGCGUAAAAGGACUUGCGUAAAGUGCCUCCGGGUCCCACAGACCCCACCAGGCAUACGGCGUGACUUUAUUUUUUUAAUCAUGAAUAAACAACUAACAGACGAGAACAUAGCAAGUUUAUUAUUCCAAGAGUUGGAUGUUGAAGACUUAGCUGCAUUUGAUUCAAGUGGAGAAGAGUUUGACAAAGAUGAUACGUUUGUCCUUCGAAAAAAGAUCGGAAAACCCAGUACAUUUGUGAGACAUGUAGUUGUCACAUUUGUCUUGUCUACUCGAUUUUUCAAUGCGCAAAGUGUUACCGAACCAAAGCUUUACAAAGUGUAAAUGCAAG